rnacentral:rRNA from 1 species
UAGGGAAUCUUCCACAAUGGACGCAAGUCUGAUGGAGCAACGCCGCGUGAGUGAAGAAGGCUUUCGGGUCGUAAAACUCUGUUAUUGAAGAAGAACGUGCGUGACAGUAACUGGUCAUGCAGUGACGGUAUUCAAUCAGAAAGUCACGGCUAACUACGUGCCAGCAGCCGCGGUAAUACGUAGGUGGCAAGCGUUGUCCGGAUUUAUUGGGCGUAAAGCGAGUGCAGGCGGUCUUUUAAGUCUGAUGUGAAAGCCUUCGGCUUAACCGAAGAAGGGCAUCGGAAACUGGGAGACUUGAGUGCAGAAGAG